GAUGAACGCUGGCGGCGUGCCUAAUACAUGCAAGCCGAGCGAACAGACGAGGAGCUUGCUCCUCUGACGUUAGCGGCGGACGGGUGAGUAACACGUGGAUAACCUACCUAUAAGACUGGGAUAACUUCGGGAAACCGGAGCUAAUACCGGAUAAUAUAUUGAACCGCAUGGUUCAAUAGUGAAAGACGGUUUUGCUAUCACUUAUAGAUGGAUCCGCGCCGCAUUAGCUAGUUGGUAAGGUAACGGCUUACCAAGGCAACGAUGCGUAGCCGACCUGAGAGGGUGAUCGGCCACACUGGAACUGAGACACGGUCCAGACUCCUACGGGAGGCAGCAGUAGGGAAUCUUCCGCAAUGGGCGAAAGCCUGACGGAGCAACGCCGCGUGAGUGAUGAAGGUCUUCGGAUCGUAAAACUCUGUUAUUAGGGAAGAACAAAUGUGUAAGUAACUAUGCACGUCUUGACGGUACCUAAUCAGAAAGCCACGGCUAACUACGUG
rnacentral:rRNA from 1 species